ACAAGAAAAAUAAAAACCUGUACCACCCACAUAAUAAAAACAAGACGAAUCGACUCACGCAUAACAAGAACAACACGGCGGAGGCGCAGCUAACUGAUUCUUUUGGAGAGGUGUUGUAUUUGGGGCUUGCCCCACGACCAGGCUGAGAACAACAAAAACUACCCCAAGGUAGCACCUGAACUGGUUGGAUCGAUUGAUCAUUGCAAGACAGCGACCAAAGCAAUCCGUUUGCUCUUUACUCUCGGUUUGAGAGGUUUCACAGGCACAAAGCCUUGUGAAUGGGCACUCAACAAAAACAAGAAGCCCGACUCAAUAAUAAAAAUAAAGAGCACGCACUUUGGGGGAGCUUCGGCUCCCCCAGUAGCUUCCGGACUUCUGUCACCCUGCCUAC
rnacentral:sRNA from 1 species